AGGGGAGGGAGUUUUAUUUUUGGGCAGGCUAGUGACGCUGGCGGGAGGCCUAACACAUGCAAGUCGAGCGGUAGCGUCUCUUCGGAGACUUGGGGGCGGGGGACGGGUGGGGGAGUGAUGUGUGACCGGCCUUUCUGUGGGGGAGGGCCUUUCGAAAGGAACAUUAAUACCCCAUAAUAUAAAUCCCGGCAUCAAAUUUUGGGGGAAAACUCCCGUGGAUCUAGAUGGGCACGCGCAAGAUUAGAUAGUUGGUGAGGUAACGGCUCACCACGUCUGCGAUCUUUAUGGGGCCUGAGAGGGUGAUCCCCCACACUGGUACUGAGACACACACCAGACUCCUACUGGAGGCGGCAGUGAGGAAUAUUGGACAAUGGGUGAGAGCCUGAUCCAGCCAUCCCCCGGGAGGGAGAACAGCGCUAUCGGUUGUAAACUUCUUUUGUAUCGGGAUAAACCUUUCCUCUUGAGGGAAGCUGAAGGUACUAUGCAAAUAAGCACCGGCUAACUCCGUGCCACCUGCCGCGGUAAUACGGAGGGUGCAAGCGUUAUCCGGAUUUAUUGGGUUUAAAGGGUCCGUAGGCGGAUCUGUGAGUCAUUGGUGAAAUCUCACAGCUCAACUGUGAAACUGCCAUUGAUACUGCAGGUCUUGAGUGUUGUUGAAGUAUCUGGAAGAAGUAAUGUAGCGGUGAAAUGCAUAGAUAUUACUUAUAACACCAAUUGCGAACGCGGGUUACUACCCACCAACUGACACUCACGGACGAAAGCGUGAGGAGCGAACAGGAUUAGAUACCCUGAUACUCCACGCCGUAACGAUGCUAACUCGUUUUUGGGUUUUCGGGAUUCAUAUACUAACCGAAAGUGAUAAGUUAGCCACCUGGGGGAGUACGGAGCGCAAGUUUGAAACUCAAAAGGAAUUUGACGAAGUGCACGGCGCCAGGCCGCUCGGAUUAGUGUGGGUUUAAAUUCGAUGAUUACGUCUGCGAAGCAUCACAAAGGCUUUAUA
rnacentral:rRNA from 1 species